UGCUGCGGUGUGGACACGCUGCGUUUCUCGAGGGGUAUUCCAGAAAGCGGGUUUAGUGAUAACUCUGAGUAUGUUAACCCUGAGAUGAGGGAAACUCUGGGUUUUCAGUUCCAGACAGAGAGGUAACUGAAACUCUGAGUCAGUCACCAUGGUAACAGACUCUGUGAACAUAACCUGCUCGCUGACAGGUUUCCUUCAAUAAACCCUGAGUUUCUCUCUGUCUCCUCCCUCUUACACGUUGUUUCAUUUCCUCAUUCAUUCAGUCCGUGUCAAAGCUUGUAUCGAAGCGCAUUCAUUAGCGGAGAUUUACCGUCUGUCACAGUCUAAAUCCUGCUGGAUAUUAGUUUGUUACUCAGGACUGUCUGAAGUUACUGAAUUUAUGCACAUCAGUCAUUUCUUUGGACAUCAGCUUUUGUCUUUACAUUCCAAUAUUACACAGCGAGAAUUCACCCUCAGCUCAGAAUCAAACCUCUGUCCUUUUUAUAUUUAUUAUUUUUAUAACACUGUGCACAAGGAUCAGACUGUCAGUCUGUCAGAGCAGCUCCCACAUGUUUAUUGCACAUAAUGUGUAGGUCUAAUUAUUUAAAUGUUAAAAUGGGUAUGAAGCUUUAGACACGUAGUAUCAGUGACUAAUGAUCUCUAUCACUGAUGUCACUGGUCGCACUGAUGGAACAUAACUCCUAUAGCCUAAUAUUGGGGAUUAUAUGUUCAUAUUUCUGAGUGAGCAAUGGUGCAGCAUUUCACUGUCUUUACAUUUACUGCAUUUGUAGCUGAAAUAAAGUCACUGAAUGCUGUUGAGUCAAGAUACAAAUAGAUGUGCAACAUUUUCAAAUCUACUGUAUUUUAACCUCAACGUCUUUUCAGGUGCAAAUCACCAAACAUAUUAUUACUGGGUCAGACUGUGAGUUUACAGUCAUGUCUUUAUGUCUUUGAUCUAUAGCCUAGCCUAUAUGUUUGAAAUCUUCUGCCUCCUGUGUUUUUCCCCAUCAGAUCAAAUCUGAACAAAUAUAUUAUGAUAUAUUAUUAAUAUAAUGUAAUGUAUCUACAGCCUGAUACACAGUCAGAUUCCACCACUUUAUCUUCAUUAAGGAAAUGUAAGUCUGAUAAAUGAUGAAUAAACUUUUUUAUUAACUUUAUGGUUAACUUAUUGACACUUUCCUCGCUCUGACUCAGGCUCUUCUUUUAAAGAUAAACGUGCACCGUCUGCUACACAUGCAUUAAUAUCUCUACAUCCACUGGAUUAAAAUGGAGGCGCUGUCUUUUAUUUACCUGUUGCCAUGGUGAAUCGUGGAGUCGGAGCUCCAUUGAUGAUGGCUUUUUAUUGUUGGUUUAACUUGACUGAACUAACUCAGAUCAGCUGUUCUGGAACCGGAUACUCACAGUUUCCCAUCUCAGAGUAAAUCAACUCAGAGUUCAGGGUUAGACUCAGAGUUUGUUGAACCUCCUACCUGGAAUACCCCUCUGAUGUUUAUGGAGUGUUUGUGUUAGAUGCUGACACAUAAACAGGCUGUGUCUCAUGAUAGCCUUGAGAGAAACCCGUUGGAUGUCAUCUAGUUAACGUUCCGCCGUUAACACUGUUUGUGCUCCGGAACAGAUGCACACAAUAAAGGCCCCUGAAAGAGAUUUCUGUGUCCUGUGCUGAUCCAACUCCACCAGGCUACAGAUAUAUAUUGUGAAAUGGUUUCACUGGUCCGGCCCACUUGAAGUCAGACUGAGCUGUCUGUGGCCCCUGAACUGAGCUGGACAGACGACCUCCCUGUCAUAUAUCUGUACUGCUCCUCGGCUGGUGUUUCUAAGGUGUGAUGGUGAAGGCGGGGGCCCAUCGAUACUCACCUGCUUGUAGUCGGAGCGAAACAUUGAGAGUGGUCUGGACGAUGCACAGCAGGCCAAAGCUGACUCCCACCAACCACAAGACUUUUGACCCUCCUGCAGGAAGAUACACACACACACACACACACACACCAUAACUUUAUUAUUACUUUGAGGAAGUGGUUUUUGUCCCGCGUCAUUAGAUUCAGUUAAUUCCUUUUAAUAAACUUCAGCUUUAUGAAGCACCUUCAGUUUUCUACCUCAAACACAAAUACUAACAAUCACAUCAUAUUUUAGCACGUCCUCCACGACUCUGUGUUUUAUGUCUGAGAAUAAUAACCAAUGAUGAUGUUCAGCAGAAGAACAAAGAGGAAGUGGCUAUAAAUACAGAUUUCUAUGAAAACGACCAAAACUAUCACUGACGUCACAGUUAUUAGGAAUAAACUAACAAACCUUACGUGUGAUUAUUUUUAUACAGAGCGUGUAAAGUCCUGAAAGGAAAACUUUUCAUGAGCUGAGUGGGUGGUGAGGUCGUUGCAGCUUCCAAAUAAGUUCAACAGUAUCUGCCCACAGACGCCAUAACAGGAGAUAUGAUGAACUCACUGUCUGUGGUUUAAAGAGGCAACAGACAGCAUCUUUUCCUAAAUAUAUCAUGAUGAAAAUAAUGUGGGUUGCACAGGGUAGUGUCCACAGUAAAAGCAGACUAUCAGCGUUUACAUAGGUUACUUAGUGGCUUUGCAAUCUUUGCAAUAAGCUUCUGUCAUGUGUUGUGAAACUGGUCAGUCAGCCAAUCAGGGACUGGAGCUGGUCCUUAUGAGGAGCUGGGCAUGAGAUAGUUGAGUCACGAGCACAAUGGCAGACGGACAAAGUUUGGAGACAAGUGAAAAACGGCCUAGCAAAAGAAAAGGAGCUCCUCUGUGUGCAUUCUGCUGUAAUUAUUUGCAUUACUAUUUGUUUUUUCUUCAGAUAAAUCUGAUAAUUGUUGCUCGGUCUCUUUACUCAUUUAUUUAGUAGAGUGUCCACACACCUUCUCAUUCUACAUAUACAUAGAGGUAUACUGGUGGCUUUACAGCCUGCAUUUUAUUCAUUAUCUCUGAUCCCCACGAACAAUUUGGUCGUUGCGACAGUGCGAUGCAACACCACUGACGCUAGGUGGCGCCAAGCUAAAAAAAACAAAUCCCACCUGUUGCCUCCUUAACUGUACUCACUGUUUGAUGAUCAGGGUGCUGUGGUUGGUUUAAGAGUCAGCUGAUUUGCAGGAUGAUGCUAUCAACUAAUUGUCUUGACUGUUGCAUUUA